AGAGGACACAGUGUUCGUCUUCUCUGGAAGAGACAGCAUUUAAGGCACCAUCUUCGAAGUAAAGGCUGGGCCCUCACCAGACACUGAACCUCCUGGCAUUUGGAUUUUGAACUUCCCAGCCUCCAUAACUGUCUAACCAUAAAAUCAUCAAUACUGAGAAAUUAAAAGGGGAACAUGUCAGGCCUCACUCUUUCUGUACUGGCUUUCAAGAGUAUUGUCCUUGAGGGAAAGCCAUCUCCUUCUUGACACCAUGGCUACCCUUAGACCCCUCGUGAAGCCCAAGAUCAUCUAAGAUGGACCAAGAAGUUUAUCCUUCACCAGUCAGACUGACAUAUCAAAAUUAGAUGUACGCAUAUAGCAGCAACCCAGAGGCAUUGACAACAGGGUGGGGAGAAAAAUCAAAGGCGAGACCUUGAUCCCCAACAUUGGUUGUGGGAGCAAAAAGAAGCAAAACACAUGCUCCCCAGUGGCUUCCAAAAAUUCCUGUUCCACGAUGUCAAAGAGCUGGAAGUGCUGCUGAUGUGCAACAAAUCUUACUGUGCUGAGAUUGCUCAACAUGCUUCUCCAAGAACGGUUAAAGCCACUGUGGAGAGAGUAACCCGACAGCCCACCAGAGUCACUAGUCCCAAUGCCAGGCUGCACAGCAAGAAAAAUUAAUAGACAGCUCAUGUGCACAUUUUAUUUGUGUUAAAUAAAACCAUAAAUACUCUGUCAUCUGGCAUCCUCCCCCUUAAA
rnacentral:lncRNA from 1 species